rnacentral:rRNA from 1 species
CAGCCGCCGCGGUAAUGCGUAGGGUGCAAGCGUUAAUCGGAAUUACUGGGCGUAAAGCGUGCGCAGGCGGUUUGUUAAGACAGAUGUGAAAUCCCCGGGCUCAACCUGGGAACUGCAUUUGUGACUGGCAAGCUAGAGUCUGGCAGAGGGGGGUGGAAUUCCGCGUGUAGCAGUGAAAUGCGUAGAUAUGCGGAGGAACACCGAUGGCGAAGGCAGCCCCCUGGGCCAACACUGACGCUCAUGCACGAAAGCGUGGGGAGCAGACAGGAUUAGAUACCCCCGUAGUCUCUGUCUCUUAUAC